rnacentral:rRNA from 1 species
CCUACGGGUGGCAGCAGUGAGGAAUAUUGGUCAAUGGGCGCGAGCCUGAACCAGCCAAGUCGCGUGAGGGAAGACGGUCCUAUGGAUUGUAAACCUCUUUUGUCGGGGAGCAAAAGACGCCACGCGUGGCGUUCCGAGAGUACCCGAAGAAAAAGCAUCGGCAAACUCCGUGCCAGCAGCCGCGGUAAUACGGAGGAUGUGAGCGUUAUCCGGAUUUAUUGGGUUUAAAGGGUGCGCAGGCGGAAGAUCAAGUCAGCGGUAAAAUUGAGAGGCUCAACCUCUUCGAGCCGUUGAAACUGGUGUUCUUGAGUGAGCGAGAGGUAUGCGGAAUGCGUGGUGUAGCGGUGAAAUGCAUAGAUAUCACGCAGAACUCCGAUUGCGAAGGCAGCAUACCGGCGCUCAACUGACGCUCAUGCACGAAAGUGUGGGUAUCGAACAGGAUUAGAUACCCUAGUAGUC